GAACACUGGAGACACCAGGGGGGUCUCAGGGUGCCAAGUGGGAAGUUGAGGACAGCAGGAGGGUCUUGGGGACACCAGGGGGGUCUCAGGACUCACCUGCUUGUGGUGCUGCCCCUCCUGUCCCCCCCAGGCCCCAAUAAAGCCCCCAAAUGUCCCCUAACCCCCAUUUUUCCUUUAAUCACCUCCUCCCCCAGAUCCCUUUGACCCCCCAAUGCUCCCAAGACCUCUUUUAACUCCCCCAAAUGCACCCAGAGGCCCCCAAAAUGCCCCAAAUCCCAAUCAAACCCCCCAAAGAGGGAUCACCUGGCACCCUGGGACAGGAACACAGUGGGCUGUACUGGGGGCACUGGGCUGUACUGGGAGAGCCCCAAAGCCCCUCCCCUGGGCAUCCGUGCCCCGGUCUGGGAACCACGGCGGGGUUGGAUCAAGGGGUGCACUUGAUGAUCUGGGAGGUCUUUUCCAAGCCGGCUGAUUCUGGGAUUCUCUGGGUGCCAUUGCCAGGGCAGCACAUGCUGGAGGCUCUGUCCACAGGGGAUAGAUGUGUCUGUGCAGACAGAGAGACAAGGUUCCUGUCCUGGAGAGCAGGCCCUGAGGUGGCCCUGAGAAGAAGUGGAAGGCAGAGGUGGUGCUGAGGCAGGAGAGCCCCGUGCUGGGGAAGAGGCUGAGCUGGGAGUGCCCAGCAGCGAGAAGGUGCUGUGUCCAUGCCCUGUGUGCCAGUUGCAGAGGGGAGUGAGAGAGAGGCUUUAGGGGGUCCAGCCAGGGCCAACCCACUACACCUGCUGUCUGUGCCCGGUGAGUGGAGCUGGAGAAAAUGAUGGAACAUAGCAUGGUGAUCCUCCCUCCCUUCCCUGAGUGCCACUGGAUAAACCUGGUCUCUGUGCCCAGCGGGUAGACCUGGUGUCCUAUCCCAGUGGGUAGACCUGGUCUGCAGGCCCAGCAGGAACACCUGAUCCCUGUCUGUAGCUUUGUCACUUGAGGGGACAGGCGUCCCUCUCAAGCCCAAUCCCUCAGCCCCUCUGCCACCCACCACCACAGAAACAAUCCCUCACAUCAGACCCCAAAACCGAAGACAAAAGCCCCCAGCAGUGCCGGGAGCUGGAGCCGGCAAAGGGCUCUGGCUGCUGCGCUCUCCCGGCGGGUGGGGAGGUCGUGCCUGGAGCCGGUGGCUCCUGCACUGGGCUCUGCUGCCUCUGCCCCUCCCACCACUCCACCUGCUUUUUGCCAAAAGCAUUUCUUGAUACCAAAAUCCAGGUCCGGGGUGGGAUGGUGUUUCCAGGUCUUCCCGGCUCCUUUGGUUUAUCAGGCCUGCCUGGCUCCAGGGCACGGCUCGGCCUGCAGGUCUACCCGGUUCUUUUUGGCCUUCAGGUCUACCCAGCUCCUUUCAGCCCUCAAGAGUUCAUGGUGACAUCACUUUUUGGUCCUUUGAUGUCGGCCCAGUGCUGCUCGUCUGUGGCCUCCUGGAGCCGUGGGGACAUUGUGACACUCCAGGGACACAGGGAAUCAAGGGUCCCCCUCGACCCUGCGGGACCUCACGGGGCCCUGGGGCCCCUCUGGCACUCUUGAUGGCAAGGAGGACCCUGUGACAAUGCAGGGCCUCAGGGAACCAAAGGGACCCUGUGACACUGAGGGACCUCGUGGUUUUCAGUCUCUUCCGAUAGUUCUGUGCCUCCACAGAGAGGCAAAGUAGUGGAGCCUGAGUGUGUUGAUCCAAAAUAUUCCCAACUCAUCUCAAUAUGUCCCUGCUAACAGAGGUGCUGUGUGGUCCCUCUGCUCUCUGGGCACUUGCAUCCUUGCCCGAUCACUCCGGUAGCCAACACCACAGGCCAGGGGAUCCCCUGGAGGGGGAGCAGAGACAUCUUUCACCAGAUCAGAUUGCUCAGAGCCCCAUCCAACCUGGCCUUGAAUGUUUGUAAGGUUGGGGCAUCCACCACCUCCCUGGAAAUGUGUUCCAGUGUUUCAUUCUCAUUAAAUAUUUCUUCCCUCUC